rnacentral:rRNA from 1 species
UACGUAGGAGGCGAGCGUUGUCCGGAUUUACUGGGCGUAAAGGGUCUGUAGGCGGUCUGGUAAGCGUGCCGUGAAAGCUCCCGGCUCAACUGGGAGAGGUCGGUGCGAACUGCUAGACUGGAGGGUCGGCGAGGCAGACGGAAUUCCUGGUGGAGCGGUAACAUGCGUAGAGAUCAGGAGGAACACCGGUGGCGAAAGCGGUCUGCUGGACGACACCUGACGCUGAGGGACGAAAGCGUGGGGAGCGAACAGA